ensembl:lncRNA LINC02609 long intergenic non-protein coding RNA 2609
GGCGCCGCUUGAAAGUGGGCCCAACCCGUGGGGGCGCCGGGCUGGUCUAGGCUCUGCCCUGGGGCUUCUGCGGCCUGGAGCUGAGGAGCCGGGGCCUUCGCGCCUCUCGGCGCCGGCUCCUCGCGUUGCUCGAAAGCCCGUCUGAGUAAUAGUCAACUGUUUUUGUCACUUUCUUAAGAUGCAUCAUCCCUGGUCUCUCUUGUUUCAUUACGAAAAAUCCCAGAGAAACCACCCGGCAGGAUCAAUCAGACGCAGGCAGCCAGACAGUUUUCUUGUACUUUAUUAAAGUGUAAUCAAACAUCGGUUAAGUGGAAAAUAAAUAUCCAGAUCUAAUAAGCUGCUCAGUCAGAUCGUGUAAAUGCAAAUUACAAGCUGGUUCCCAUCUUCCCGCCAGGGGAUUGAACAAGCCACAGCAAUUGCUUCAUCCACUGCGAUUGUAAAUCAACUAAAAUAAUGGCUGGAUAAUGACCAGUUUGCGGUUUCAAGCAGAUUGAAUGAUAACAAACUGCGUGUGUCGCACCAGCUUUUCAUUUAGCAUCUCAUCAUGGAGCGAGCAGCCCGCCUAACAGCUUGGCUCCCUCAUUAGGUUGUUGUCUGCAGCUUGUAAAUUCACACUGCAGCCAGCAGAUUACCUGACAAACUUCUUGAUAGGAAAAGCUAGACAAUUCAAUCCGGCCCAUCAAUCCCUCCCUGCGAAGGCAGGCACAUUGAUCUAUUGCUGAGCGCUGCGGCGAAUUGAUAACAAUAUGAUGCCUCCUAAUGUGGUGGAGGAAAUAUGUACGCAUGUAUACAUGCAGAAAUAUAUAGGGAAGCACACUCAUGGGUACGCACGCGAACAAGAGCCGUGUGUGCAGGAGAGAGGGGUGCGCCACAGACACGCCGCCCACCGCAGCCCCAGCCUCUCGCGUGGGGCCUCUGCCCGCACACACGCAGCCAGGCACUGUAAGCAUCUUCACUUUUUGUUUUUUGCUGAUGUUGAUUUAGUUGCUAAUUGGUGACAGAAAUUGUCAAAUAGGUGGCAGAUAGCGACUGCGGAAACUUCCGUUGAAGGAGGUGAGAAAAUCCUUUCAAAGAUGAACUGCCGCCUGAAAAGGGAUGGCUCACUAAAUUUCUCCCAGAUAUUUAUUGCUCGUAUUAAAAAGAUAAAUCAGAAAAGAGGAGCGAAGGCAUAAACCAGGCUUCUAAUGUGAGGAAAAACACGGAAUGACAAGUGUGGGAAAGAGCAAGCACUAAAUUACUGUCAGAAAAAUAAACGGAGUAGCACAGUGCUGCUCGGUGAUUUACGGGGGCAAUUAGUCACCACCCCACGGCGCUGCUGAGGACAGCACGGCAGCAGACAAGUCAGGCCCAUGAGGAAGAAGAGGCUUUGCACUGCUCUCCAGACAACUUUUCAAACAACAAGAGAGGAUAUUUGAGCACAUUAGGUUUUGUGUCUUCAUUCUGGGUACCUACUCUUCAUAUUAUUCUACCAACUUAAUACAUAAACAUAUUUUUAGCACAA